AUAUAAGAUGCAUUCAAUAUAUCUAUUUACGAAAAUAAAAGUCGCAAACUGAUUAUAUCAUCGUGUUUGUUUAUAUGCAAUAUGAAAGAACCUGAUACAUUUAUCAGGUUCUUUUUUGG
rnacentral:sRNA from 1 species